GAUGAACGCUGACAGAAUGCUUAACACAUGCAAGUCUUUGGCGAAGCUGUGCUUGCACAGCCUAGCCAAGGCGGACGGGUGAGUAACGCGUAAGGAACUUGCCCUGCAGUCAGGGAUAACAGACGGAAACGACUGAUAAGACCUGGUAAAGUCAGGCGGACUCACGUCCAGCCUGAUGAAAAGAGAUGCUGCGGGAGGGCCUUGCGUCCUAUUAGCUUGUUGGUGGGGUAACGGCCCACCAAGGCGAUGAUAGGUAGCCGGCCUGAGAGGGUGGACGGCCACAAGGGGACUGAGAUACGGCACUUACUCCUACGGGAGGCAGCAGUGGGGAAUAUUGGACAAUGGGGGCAACACUGAUCCAGCAAUUCUGUGUGCACGAUGAAGGUUUUCGGAUUGUAAAGUGCUUUCAGCAGGGAAGAAAAAAAUGACGGUACCUGCAGAAGAAGCGACGGCUAAAUACGUG
rnacentral:rRNA from 1 species